AUUCCUUUGUGGCUCGUAAGUGUGGUGAUUGGAUGCCCCAGCACCCGUAUGACAUGUACCUUACUCAAACUUUGCUAUAACAUUAGUACAUUAUCUGUAUGAUG